rnacentral:rRNA from 1 species
UACGUAGGGGGCUAGCGUUGUCCGGAUUUAUUGGGCGUAAAGAGCGUGUAGGCGGCUUGGUAGGUCCGCUGUGAAAACUCGAGGCUCAACCUCGAGAUGUCGGCGGAAACCACUUGGCUAGAGUCCGGAAGAGGAGAGUGGAAUUCCUGGUGUAGCGGUGAAAUGCGUAGAUAUCAGGAGGAACACCGGUGGUGUAAACGGCUUUCUGGACCAUUUCUGACGCUGAGGCACGAAAGCGUGGGUAGCAAACAGG